AUUUAUAUUAUUUAUUUUAAUUUAUUUGAUGUCUUGUGUCUUGUAAAAAGACCUCUAGAUCUCUUUUUAUUACAGUUGCUUGUAUAUUUUUAAUACACUUGGUUGUAUGCUUUUUUAUAUUACAGUUGGCUGGUUAUAACUCAUUUAUCAGGGCAAAUCGAUUGGGUACAUGAUUCACUUGCAGAAAAUCCUGGUGAUGAAAUUAGUCCAUUUUCACAUUGAACAAACAAAAUCAGAUCAUUAUCUGCAGUGGCCAUUUCACUUGUUUUACAUAGUUUUGCAGAUAUUCUUUAUGCAUAUGGAAAAUUUGCGAACAGAUUUAUGUGGGAAUUCAAUUUUUGUUUGCUUUGCAUAUUGAAAGGAAAAAAUGUCCGUCCUUCACCCUAAAGGCAUUCAUCAGAAUCAAGAUAUAAGUGAUAUGCUGUAAAACAGAAGUGGCAUCUUAUUACAUGCAUAUAUUAUUUUUUUCUAUGUAGAUACUAGCUACUAGAGAAUCGAACAAUAUUUGUCCUAGUCCUACUUUAGUUAAUAUCUGUUCAAAAGGAGUGGAAUUUACAAAACUUCAAGGUUCAAGUAAGCGGAAUAUAUUUUCUUUAAUUUCUGCUAUUUUGUCCCAAAUUUUGUAAUACUGUCCCCAACUAAAAAAAAAACUACCUUUUUUUUUUUUUGCAAAUAUAGCCCAUUUGUUGGGAUCCUAUACACAUUUAUUUCUGGAUAUGUAAGAAAUUCUGAUAAUAAUUAAAAAGAAAAGACAGAUGUCCACCUAAUAUUUAAAGAGACCCACAAAAUUGAUCUACCAGUGUUAUGUUAUAUAUAAAAGCAACAUAAUUUCUCUUACACAAACAUGAAGAUGAUAAACAAAUCCUCAUGAAUUGUACAAAAUGCAAAUGUUCUUUCUCCUUUCAAGAGAGGACAUGCCUCCUUAUAGAACACUUCCAAUAAUAGGCUUGGGAACUCUAGUAUCGAUGUAGUUUACCAAACCCAUCAAGCCUAGACUGUUAACGUAGAUCUGUCACUUUUAGGGUCCUUGCAUAUUUUGCAAAGACCCCAAAAGUGCCAGAUCCAGUGUGGGUCUGGUGGGCGCAGGUUGAAGUGGAACGUAAGACUUUCUAACCUCAAGCUGUCCAUUGCGGCUGCCGCCAUCUUGGUCCCACAGGUUCUUCUCCAGGUCCACUUCAGCUACCAGGAGCCUCAAGUGCUGUACUUUCGCGUAUGCACAAGAGUACAACACUGAGGUGUAUGGACGAUCCCAUGAGUCUUCAAUAGCGUCCAUAGAUAAUACCUGAAUCCCACAGCUAUUACUAAUGAUGGCUGCUAGGAAUGAACAAAAGUUGACAGCAGAGCUCUGCCUUUUGUCAACGUUAGUCAACCUGAGGCUUGUCCAUAAGGCAAAGUAGUCCCUAGUUUUUCUUAUAGUAUCUUUGGAUUGCGUUGGAAUUUUUAUGACAUUCCAAUACAAUCUUAAUCAAUAUUUUAUAAAAAAAUAUAUAUUUAUUUGGAAUACUGAAAAGUUACAGAUCUGCUUUAAAUUCUGUCUGACCACCAUCGAUAUUACUAAUGCACAACAAACAAAAUGCCCCAGGGUAACUAUGCAAAUAACCCUCCUUUGAAAGACAAGUUUACAUUCUGGCAUUAACCCUUGGAGACUGUUGGCUCCUUUGGUUGACUCCAAAUGUUGUGGAAAAUAUUUGCUUGCUGAUAAACACGAGCAAUGAUUUGCAUAAUCAAUUUUCCAGGCUAAGAAUAAUGGGACCACAAGAGCUGGGUUGCCGAAAUUGGCCAUCACUGGUGUAGAAGGUGUGAGAUGUGCUACUGGCUGAUUUACUCACUCCUUCUGCACUUAAAGAGUUAAAUAUAUCAAUGAAAUUAUAUUACAGAAUGGCAUCACAGAUUUUCUGCACCUUUGCAUUUUAUGAGGAGUAACAUUUAUCACUGUGUGUGAAUCAGAACAUACACUUGAAUAUUUGACAUAAGAAAAAGCCACGCCAGUUAUGAUCACGUAAGCAAACCUGGGGCUGAAAUGAUCUCAGCGUGUUAGUUGAGAGACUGUUAUUUUAUACUGCAUAGAAUAUGUUUUAUGGUUUUUUAAAGAAAAAGAAUGAAAAAAAAACAACAAAAAGGCAAAAAAUAAAACAACUUUCUUG